ACAACCACUUCUCCCCAUUCUCCUUCUCAUUUUCGGGCACCAUUCUUCUCUCUCUAUCACUUUCUCCAUCUCUCUCUAUAUUCACACAUAUGCACACACAUAUAUGUCAUAUAUCAUUCAAGCUUUGAUUUGGAGAGUUUAAGGUGGGAUUUUAAGCAUGAGCAAGUAGGGAAGUUAGAGAGCUUGGAGAGGGCUUCCAUUUGGCACCCAUAUUGCUAUGGUUUAGAGAAUUUCAAAAUUUGGGGCUUGCUAAGGCCUUGUUUGGCUUGCUCCAUUGAGGUUAAAGUGCAAAAAGGAAGCAAAAAUGAUGCCUUGUGGAAUUUUGAACAAAAAGGGUGCCAAUUCUGAAAUUCUGGCAACAGUAGAACCUGACUUUUGUCGCCAUUUUCGACCUAGCAAACUCAAGAACUGGACUUCCAUCAUAACAUAAAAGAUUUAGAGCUCUGAAUUAGCUUUCUAAAUCUUCAAACGGUUCAUCAUUCGAAGCUCGGAGCAGAGAGUUAUGGCCUUGUUACCAGAGGUGCGCAGAACUGCUUGGCAGCACUGAAGUACUGUCUUUCUCCCCAUUUUCGACUAACCAGACUUGAGAAUUGGGUCUUCAUCAAAACAUGAAGUUUUUAAAGCUCUGAAUCAGCUCUCCAAAUCUUCAAACAGAUCAUCAUUCGGAGUUCGGAGCACAAAGUUAUGGUUAUUCUUCCACAGUGGGUCGGAGAUGGGUAAGAAUUGCAUGUUCCUCAUUACACUAAUUUAGAGUGCUCGAGACCACCCUUCGAGUGCUCGAAAUUCAGGCAGAUUGCACUCGAAAAUGGCUCAAUUUCAGCCACUUGCACAUUGGUUUCCUCAAUGCCAUCUUCCUUCUUUAUGAAGUGGUUGGAGGUGUUCCUUGGAGGAGAGAGAGCCUUGACUUGAGCUUGAUAAGAGAAAGGGAGGACCACAUAAAAUCAUUAUCCUAUAUUCUAGCAAGAUAGAGGAGAGAGAAGAGAGCAAGGAAGAGGGUGUUCUUGAGUGUUACAGUAGGUGCACGAAAAUGGAGUCUUGGAUGGAGCUUCUUCCUUCUUCUAGCUUAGCAAUGGGUAACUAACUCUUUCUCUAGGGAGGUGAUGAAGUCCCUCCCUUGUAAGCAUGUCCUAGGAUAGUCUAUUUUGGGGAUUUGCCAUGUAUAUUUUAUGGUCUUUUCAUAACCAAGAGCACCUCAUUUGUUGUAAUGAAUGUUGAUAUAUGUAUGGAUGAUUUCUUUAA